CAGGAAAAACAGAGGGUUCCUUUCUUCAACCUUAAUCUCAUCAAAACCUCUCAAAAUCAAAGAAGGAAAUUUAUUUGAAAUCAAAUUCAAGCUAAUUCAUGAUCAUUGUAGUUAGAGGAUCACAAGGCAGUUUGGGUGGAUCAUCGAGUAAUCAAGGUGGGAUAGAUAACCGCUUGAAAGGAAAGCUUUAAAGGUAAUUGAAACGAACUUGCGGAUGAAGAUCAAGCUCCUAAAGAGAACCGAACACGCACGUAAAAGAAGCUUCCGCAAAGAAAUUAUGUCUUUUGUUAAACAAUACUUUAGUAAUGUUUUAUCAAACUUUUGCAAAUAUGGUUUAAAUGUUUUGCAAGUUAAUUAGGUUUUAUUAUGACGAUAUAGCUUGAAACAUUA